GCCAGACUCCUACGGGAGGCAGCAGUGGGGGAUAUUGGACAAUGGGGGAAACCCUGAUCCAGCGACGCCGCGUGAGUGAAGAAGUAUUUCGGUAUGUAAAGCUCUGUCAGCAGGGAAGAAAGAAAUGACGGUACCUGACCAAGAAGCCCCGGCUAACUACGUGCCAGCAGCCGCGGUAAUACGUAGGGGGCAAGCGUUAUCCGGAUUUACUGGGUGUAAAGGGAGCGUAGACGGCAUGGCAAGUCUGAAGUGAAAGCCCGGGGCUCAACCGCGGGACUGCUUUGGAAACUGUUAAGCUGGAGUGCAGGAGAGGUAAGUGGAAUUCCUAGUGUAGCGGUGAAAUGCGUAGAUAUUAGGAGGAACACCAGUGGCGAAGGCGGCUUACUGGACUGUAACUGACGUUGAGGCUCGAGAGCGUGGGGAGCAAACAGGAUUAGAUACCCUCGUAUU
rnacentral:rRNA from 1 species